rnacentral:lncRNA from 1 species
UAGCGUGUAAACUGAAAGGUGGGAAUGAUAGUGGUGUUUAAACCAAAAGGUGGUGUUUAAACCAAAAUAGAAAUAUGGGUGUGGCGUUUAAACCAAAGAGGGCGGUGUUAAACCUGAAAAAUGGUGUUUAAACAAGAAUGGUGGUGUUUAAACCAAAAGGUAGGUGUUUAAACCAAAGGGUCGGUGUUUAAAUCGGAAAGGUGGUGUUUAAACCAAAGGUUUGGUGUUUAAACUGAAAAUGUGGUCUUUA